rnacentral:lncRNA from 1 species
AAUAUCGUACUAUGGCGGAGCUGAUCCCGGGAUGUGACAAGGAACACACGAUAUGUUAACGCAAUAAAAAAUCUCAAGAUGAGGAAAACAACUGCGGGCACUAUGCCAAAGAACAAAUCACUAUGAGAAAGAAUACAAAAAGGUCUUACAAGUCUUCACUCAUAAGACUAGCGCUCACAAGGUAGACUUGCCUACUCGCCUUUGC